UGAUAUUUAGUGGCACGGAGUGA
rnacentral:miRNA from 1 species